CUCCACAUCCUCACCAACGCUUGCUGUUUGUUGAUUUAUUGAUGAUAGCCACUCUGACAGGUAACACAUGUGUGCUAGUCUGCUCUCAGGGAGGCCAGCAGCAGAGUGGUAAAGAUCCUGCCCCUGCAAGGCAGUAAGUCAAGUCCAGGACUGGGAUGGAUACUGAUCUACUGUGAGACUCUCUCCUGGGAAUAUCAUGCAGCUCUGAGAAAUGAAGGAUUCAGGCUUGCUCAUAUUGGGACAAAUCAAAGAAGGCUGAAGGAAGGAAGAUAAAUCAUACCCCAGAACCCUGGAAAACUCUGAAAUUAGAGGCACCAGAUGCCCCCGAAGAAGGGAGUAAGAGCUGAGGUUCAUUCUGCACACUGGAUGAAAAAAGACCCUAUUCUAAGG